rnacentral:rRNA from 1 species
UACGAAGGGUGCAAGCGUUAAUCGGAAUUACUGGGCGUAAAGGGUGCGUAGGCGGUUCGUUAAGUCUGUCGUGAAAUCCCCGGGCUCAACCUGGGAAUGGCGAUGGAUACUGGCGAGCUAGAGUGUGUCAGAGGAUGGUGGAAUUCCCGGUGUUGCGGUGAAAUGCGUAGAGAUCGGGAGGAACAUCAGUGGCGAAGGCGGCCAUCUGGGACAACACUGACGCUGAAGCACGAAAGCGUGGGGAGCAAACAGG